GUGUCAGCAGCCGCGGUAAGACGAACCGUCCGAACGUUAUUCGGAAUCACUGGGCUUAAAGGGUGCGUAGGCGGCGCGGAAAGUUGGGUGUGAAAUCCCUCGGCUUAACCGAGGAACGGCGCCCAAAACUACCGUGCUCGAGGGAGAUAGAGGUGAGCGGAACUUAGGGUGGAGCGGUGAAAUGCGUUGAUAUCCUAAGGAACACCGGUGGCGAAAGCGGCUCACUGGAUCUCUUCUGACGCUGAUGCACGAAAGCUAGGGUAGCGAACGGGAUUAGAUACCCCGGUAGUCC
rnacentral:rRNA from 1 species